AUUGAACGCUGGCGGCAUGCCUUACACAUGCAAGUCGAACGGCAGCACGGGUGCUUGCACCUGGUGGCGAGUGGCGAACGGGUGAGUAAUACAUCGGAACGUACCUUAUCGUGGGGGAUAACGCAGCGAAAGCUGUGCUAAUACCGCAUACGCCCUGAGGGGGAAAGCGGGGGAUCGAAAGACCUCGCGCGAUUAGAGCGGCCGAUGCCUGAUUAGCUUGUUGGUGGGGUAAAAGCCCACCAAGGCGACGAUCAGUAGCUGGUCUGAGAGGACGAUCGGGCAAACUGAGACUGAGACACGGCCGAGACUCCUACGGGAGGCAGCAGUGGGGAAUUUUGGACAAUGGGGGCAACCCUGAUCCAGCAAUGCCGCGUGAGUGAAGAAGGCCUGCGGGUUGUAAAGCUCUUUUGUCAGGGAAGAAACACCGGCUCUAACACAGUCCGGGAAUGACGGUACCUGAAGAAUAAGCACCGGCUAACUACGUGCCAGCCGCCGCGGUAA
rnacentral:rRNA from 1 species